GACGAACGCUGGCGGCGUGCCUGAUACAUGCAAGUCGAGCGGGACUCUUCGGAGUCCAGCGGCGGACGGGUGAGUAACACGUGGGCAACCUGCCUGUAAGACUGGGAUAACACCGGGAAACCGGUGCUAAUACCGGAUAAUCCUUUCUCUCACAUGAGGGGGAGCUGAAAGACGGUUUCGGCUGUCGCUUACAGAUGGGCCCGCGGCGCAUUAGCUAGUUGGUGAGGUAACGGCUCACCAAGGCGACGAUGCGUAGCCGACCUGAGAGGGUGAUCGGCCACACUGGGACUGAGACACGGCCCAGACUCCUACGGGAGGCAGCAGUAGGGAAUCUUCCGCAAUGGACGAAAGUCUGACGGAGCAACGCCGCGUGAGCGAUGAAGGCCUUCGGGUCGUAAAGCUCUGUUGUCAGGGAAGAACAAGUAUCGGAGUAACUGCCGGUACCUUGACGGUACCUGACCAGAAAGCCACGGCUAACUACGUGCCAGCCGCCGCGGUAAAAC
rnacentral:rRNA from 1 species